CCCGCUGCAAGAGACAUGAGCUCCAAAUUUAGGUUGGGAGGUAUCUCAUCCUCAGGAUCCAUUUUAUUCUCGAACGCGACUUCAAAGACUCUGAUUUCUCCUUCGUAUAUACUUUCUCUGUUCUCCUCAAAAAAAUUAGAUGCUUAAAUCAAGCAACAUCUAAGAUAAUCUACUUAUUAGGAAGUUAGUGGAUUUAUGACUGAGCCACCUCGUCUUCGAUUUUCCAGUCUGUUAUUUUGGUGGUGAUCUAGAUUGAAGAGAUUACAUUUCCAGGAGGGUGAGUCUUUCUUCC
rnacentral:lncRNA from 1 species